rnacentral:tRNA from 1 species
UGACAGUUAGCUCACUCGAUUGGAGCGUAGUGCUGCUAACACCAAGGUCACGGGUUCGAUUCCCGUUCGGUCCC